rnacentral:rRNA from 1 species
UACGUAGGGGGGCGAGCGUUGUCCGGAUUUAUUGGGCGUAAAGAGCUCGUAGGCUGUUCGAUAAGUCGGGUGUGAAACCUCCAGGCUCAACCUGGAGACGCCACCCGAUACUGUCAUGACUAGAGUCCGGUAGGGGAGCGUGGAAUUCCUGGUGUAGCGGUGAAAUGCGCAGAUAUCAGGAGGAACACCAAUUGCGAAGGCAGCUCGCUGGGACGUGACUGACGCUGGAGACGCGAAAGCGUGGGGAGCAAACAGG